rnacentral:rRNA from 1 species
CGUAGGGUGCGAGCGUUGUCCGGAAUUAUUGGGCGUAAAGAGCUCGUAGGUGGUUUGUCGCGUUGUCCGUGAAAACUCACAACUCAAUUGUGGGCGUGCGGGCGAUACGGGCAGACUGGAGUACUGCAGGGGAGACUGGAAUUCCUGGUGUAGCGGUGAAAUGCGCAGAUAUCAGGAGGAACACCGGUGGCGAAGGCGGGUCUCUGGGCCGAUACUGACGCUGAGGAGCGAAAGCGUGGGGAGCGAACAGG